GUUUUGGGGUAUAGGUACACACGAGAGCGUACCGGCAGAGGACCGUGGUAAGGGCACAGCGCCCUAGUAGCUAGUAGCUUUCCUUAUGCAUUAGAGUGCCCUCGUGUACAUAGAGAUGUAAAUGUAUUUGGAAGUUACUUAUGUAUUUGGAAAGACAUUUUGUAUUAUGAGAAUAAUAUGUAUUCAUUUGGGAAGAUGAAAAUGUAAAUCAAUAUGAAAAUUGAGGUUGAAUGAAUGUAAUAGCUAGAUGUAUCUCUCUUUAUUUCACUUGUAUGUUACUUGUGAUUCUUGCUCUUAGAUGUAUUGCACCUGUGUGCAUCGUGUUCGAUCAUGUAUGUUAUUUAAGCAUUCCCUGGGCGCUUAACUGUACAUGAUCUGGUUGCUUAGCCUUGGGCGGACAGGAGAGGUGCUGUCCGUUCGGCGUCUGAUCGACGUGCCCGGAUCUUGCCAAAUUGGCGGGUCGCGGGGCGUGACAGAUGGUCGUGGUAUCAGAGCAAGCUAAGAGCAAGUAAAGAGAGAGUUUAGGAUGACCUAGGAGACCCUAGGACAGUAAACCGUAAGGUUAUAGGUGCGUGAGUGGAACGUGAACCUAUAACGGUGGCGGAAGUUGAAUCGAUUGGGUCAAGUUAGUAAACCUCUAAGACAGAUGUUAGAGGUGGAUUCAAGGUUCAAUUUAUUCUCACUAGAGGAUGUUCAUGUUGGAUGCAUACAACAUGAAACCGAGAGAUGAGAAUAGGCACCCUUGUAUGACUUUCGCCUGAUUUGAGUCAAGCUGAUGUUAGUUGUUACGUGUUCGACCUAGAGGGUCGAGACCAACUGUGUUGUCGCGGUUUAGGAGAUCGACAAUGGUACCGCGUAGGCGAUCUUCGUUUAGAUCGGCGCGGGACGGGACAAGUGAUGUCCCAGAACGAUUCAAGCGAGCGGAGAAUGCAAACUUCGCUAUUGGUUGGCCACGCUCGUGGGAGUGAUGAGGCCACGAGUCGGUGGAUCGGUUGGCGAUCGCACCAGUUUUGGCACGUCGAGUACGGCCGGGAUUCGCGACGGAGGUGUUUCCGUCGGGGUCGGGCAAUCCGACUUCUAGCACUCCAAAGGUUGAGGCGGUGAGGGAGCGAGCGUCGAUGGCCCUCAUGAUUUUUACGGAAUUUGAUCCGCCUACCUUUGAUGGAGAGAAUGUAGAUCCGCAGAUUGUGGAGUUGUGGAUUGAUUCCAUGGAAACUCUAAUAGAGGAUCUAUGCUUAGUGCAAACGGGAGUUCUCCCAUAUCUCCAGUUACAUCCUAAACAUAGUACGGGAUGACGACGAUAUGGCCGAUUUGUUUGUGCGGAGACUUCGGCUAAAUAUUGUCAAGGUUGUGCAUGUAAGGAAGUGAAUUCUCGAAAUUUGAGAGUUUGACUUCGUUUAAAAUCGACCAUGUGUCGAGUUGGUGCACUUCGGAAUGUCCGAAAAUGCCAAAGAGGCAAAGAGUGCAUCGUAACGGACCUCGCCUUUCCCGUCUGUUGCAUCGGCUUUGGCGAUUUCGGGCCAUUAUGAAGGAGCCCUACCUACUGUUGCUUUAGCUAGACGCGCGAUGGCACCUCGUCAGCCAGAGGUGGCCCGUCGACUACGAGUGGCUGGGUGUUUGCCACUCAAGUCGAGGAACUUGCUGCCGCUAAUGAUGUCUUGGUAGGUAUGGCUUAAUACAAGCAAGCAGGUAUUUCGGCGUAAUGCGGAAUAGAUGCAUUGCAGACAUUUCCAUGGUCAGUUGCUACUAAUUAUGCAUUAGUAUAGUAGGGACCAGUGGANUCUUGCUUCUUCUUCUUCUUCUCCAAGCCCUAGAGCAAGAGUUCUAGAGAGAGAAAGAGAGGAAAAGGGAGAGAAGGGUAAAAUGGCUGUGGGAGAGAGAGGGGUGUCCACAUAUAGUGUUGUGACAAUUGCAUUUAAGCCCCUCAACUUAUUUCCCCUUGAUCUGCCCAGACUGGGCGUUUUUCGCCUUCGGGGACCAGUCUCCCCGACCAGGGACCGGUUCCCGAACGUGGGUGUUCCAGGACUUAGCCAAAUUUUCUAGUCUUUCGGCUGUUGCACAGCGAGGGACCGGUCUGCCCCUUCAGGGACCGGUCUCCCAAGGACCGGUCUCACUACCAGGGACCGGUUGCCUCAAGACUUCCUGGCAGGCUACGCGUACGGGGACCGGUCUCUCCUUCAGGGACCGGUCCCCGAGAGCACAAAAUCUGGGACUUAGCCAGAUUUCCAGAUUACUCUCUCGGGUCCCUUUUAGCCUCACUUAUGGACUCUAAUGUGCUCAUGGUCCACUCAAACUCAUUCAUCUCCGCAGUCCGCUCAUUUCGACGGAACUCGGCACGAUUUACGAGGGAUGUGGUAUGUUACAUGGAGGAAGUAGCACCAAGGAGUAAAAGAGAAGAUCAAACCACUAAAUAUCAUGCAAAAAGGGGAUCAAAUCCAAAGAGGGGAAAACAGGAGGUCCCCUACCUUGUCUCCACUGCCUCUCAGCUCAGGGAAGGCCCUAAGGAGCGUGGGGUAUGUAUAGAGUUGCUACAAAAGCGAAUACACCCCUCAAAGCUGCAGUUCUCGCAGUCUGCCAAAGUGUAGCGGUACACGGAAAAGUGUACCGGUACAAAUCCCGCGAACUCACAAACCCGACCUUCGGGUUGGCUAAAAACCACAAAUGUACCGGUACAACUAUCAAAGUGUACUGGUACAAAAUGUGUUCCAGUACAACCAUCAAGAUUGUACCGAUACACAACCCUGCUGAAGCAAACCCGAGAGCAAACCAAACAUUCAACUUUUUGGAUUUUGGUGCACAGUUAUAAACCUCAAUUCUCGGGAUGUGAGCCAUAGGUCGGAACACUGUCUACGACCCUCCAGAAUAUCUGGAAAAACUCAGAUCACAGAUUAAACAAUCGAACCUUGCAAUUUGCAAAAAUCCAGUGUGUUACAUUCUCCCCUCCUUAAAAGGAGUUUCGUCCGCGAAACUGCGGGUCAACCACGAAACAGACCCAUCCAAAAAGGAUGGAAGAAGCGCUCCAACAGCGCAUAGAUCAGACCAUGAAGGUCUCAAGCAUGACGGAAUGCUCCUCGGCAAAACACACAAGGUCCCACGAUGCCAAGACUUGGCAUAACUCAAGUAAAGCUUCCACUGAAGUUCUUCGAACUCAAGGCUUUACCGGAAGUUCCAUCUCUAGUCCGUGCCUGAUCACCAAGUCCAUCAGUCGGUUCUCACGAAACCAAGUAUUCCCAAAAGCUGAAUUCUCGUUCUCACCUUCCUCGUUCAAGUCGAGGGUAGGCCUUGCUCUGCUUCAAUUACUCUAGUAUAUAGAAUUCCAUCCAAAUACCUGUAGGAUACCGAACUUCUAAAAUUAUGAAGUUACGGUGGGAUGUAAUAUGCGGAUUUUAAUGUAAAAAGGGAAAUAAAUAAAAAUAGUAUGAGAUACUAUUUUUAUUAGAUUUAGAGAAGUGAAAUAUAAGUUUGGAAUGACCCGUGUUGAAAUCAGAGCGAAAACAGAAGAUUUAGAUUUUCUGUGAGAAACGGGGCAGAUAAAUUAGCAGAAAAUGCACAGUCUCAGAAAAUUAUGAAAACUAGCGGGGAUGCCAGAAAUAUUUUAAUGAGGCUAGAUUUAGAGUUUCAUAUUUUUCUGACACCCGUAGAGUGAGAACUAAAAUCCGACAGUUAUCUGAUAAAGAUUACAGUUCGGUACAGCUUUCGGUGACCAAACGGGGUCGAAACUGAAAGAUUAAAAUUUCUUUCGUUAAGUUAAGCAAAACCGAAUAUGACUGUCAAAUUUGAGCUCAAACGGAUAUUCAGGGAGUUCCGGCGAAAGAUAUCAGAUUUGGAGCUGCCUGAUGUGAAUAGUGUAUGCUACUAUUGAGGGUUGACUAUAAGUAGAAGCUUCUAGUGACUUGGCUUCUUCUUCACAGCCAAGCACCACCCCCACAAGAGCACGUUCAUGGUGUAGUGAGAGAAACCCUCUCUUUCUCUCUCUAAAUAUCUCUCUCAUCUCUCUAGAUCUUUCGCCCAAAUUCGCGGCGUUGGUGGAGAUCGAGCUUGCGAACGCGUUGGGAGCGACGGAUCGAGUUUUCGUGCGCCCGUUGGAUUGGCGUGCUUUCGUCUCGGCGUUCAUAUUUUGGUAAGCUAUCGGGAUUUGGCUUAAUCCUUAAGUUUAAGUGUUCUAAUAGCCUCUAAUGUGAAGUUAGCUUGUUAAAUCCUUAAUAUUUGGAUUGUUUGGAGCAUAUGUUGAGGCUAAGGUGUGAAAAUGGGGGUUUACAAAUUAGGUGGGGUUUGAUCUAAUUUGACCCUUCGUAAACCUAAUUGCUAGGUAAACGAACGCGUUGGUGAAGUCGGUUCGGCGAUUCGUCGAGCCUACGCGAAGUUAUUAAAGAAACAGACGUUUAGGCUUCGUUUCCGCCUGGAGGGCCGAGGCGACGUCGUAAAAUCAUGAAAAUGGAUUUGAAGCAUCGUGGCACAUAACCGAAGACCUUUAAUUUUCGGAUCGUGAAUUGGAGGCCGUUCGGGUGGUCGCGCGAGAGAUCGGGCCAAACCGGGUGCCGGGUGCCGCGGGAGGCCGAUUGCAAGUGUCGACAAGCAAUCGGAAUGCGAUAAAAGGUGGGGGGUGUCAUCCCGAAGCAACUGAGCUUCCUUUUAUGUCUAAGUUCUAUAUCUUGAUCAUAUUCCUAUAUGUUGAUAUAUUGUGCAUUAUAGGAUUAGUAGAUGAUUACAUUUCCAUUCCUUGCAUGUUACCUAGGUUGUGUAGCAUUGUGGGCUUGACACUUGAUCUUAGGUUGCAUGAGGAUUGGGUCUUGUGACAAGAAUCCUAUAGUGACAAGAAUGAUGAUGAACUUGGACAUGUAAUUGGCCUAGACGAGUGGCAUUUGGACUAGUGUAACAAAGACACUAUAAUAUUGACGAGUGGCAUGUCGAUUUAGUGUAUUAAGACACAUAUAACAUCAUGACAUAAACGAGUGGCAUCAAAUCUAGUGUAGUGAAACACUAUGGCAUUUGAACCUAGGGAUAGUAGAUUUUCCCGAUUGUCAUGUUGUAGACAUUAUGCAUUUGGCAUUAGUGCAUUUGAGGCAUUGAUUAUGCAUUUGGUAUUGUGCAGCAGAGGCACAUUGACCCUGGUAGAUAGGGUAUCCUCUUGUGAGGAUUGGAUCAUACUCACUAGUCUGUUUUUGCUUGUCGGUGGUCGCUCCACCGAAGCACGAGUCUCCGGAGUACUUCACUAGGGGCAGACGUAGUUGUCCCGCAGACGGUCUCGGUGUGCGAGUGCAGAUUCUCCUCACCUAUGAGAUUGAGAGUGAGUCGGGGUUGACCCCGGGGUGGCAACCUUCAGGUUAGCCAUGAGAUUGGAUACUAUCGAGGCAUAGUUGCACGACGCACUAUGUAGUAGCUCGUUCAUUCGGAUUAUUGAGGCAUAGUAGCAUGUGCAGAUACAUCACUAUGUAGUAGCUCAUUUCCAAGCAGAUUGGGUAAAGAAUAUGAAUGGCAUAGCAGAUUUGCAUUCAUACCUUGAGUUGACAUUGAGACAUAGUAGCAUGUUGUAGAUACAUCACUAUGUAGUAGCUCAUUUCCAUUAUUGUUGAAGCAUAGUAUCAUGAUUAGUAGAAUAUCAUUGCUAUGUUCAUGCAUUCCAUGAUUACAGAGGCAUAGUAGCAUGUGUAUAUUCCAUUACUAUGUAGCAGCUCGUACUUAGUAGAGCGAGAUUGAGUCGGGCGAGGAGCGGGGUAGCUCUUUGCCUAGGACCUUCGAGAUUGAGUCGGGCAAGGAGCGGGGUAGCUCUUUGUCUAGGACCUUUGAGAUUUGAGAUCUUAGGCAAGUUGGCCUAGUCGAUUGGGUUGUAACAUGAAUAGCAUAAGUGGAUUGCAUUCAUGCCAUGAUUGGACAUAGUAGACUGCAUAACUAUGUUGUAGUUGUAUUUAUUACACUGUUGAAGCAUACUAGCAUGAUAGUAGGUUAUUGCUAGAUGAUGUUCCAUGCAUUCUUUGCAUUUGAUGGCAUAGUAGAUAUAGUAGCAAUGUAUUUCUAUCUACCUUUCUAUCUAUCUAUCUGUGCCAGCUUAGACCUAGUGGGAAAACCGGCGGCGUCGGCGGCCGAACCCACUGGGAACUAUAUUUAUAUAGUUCUCACCCCGUGUGGUUUUGGGGUACAGGUACACACAGGAGCGUACCGGCAGAGGACCGUGGUAAGGGCACAGCGCCCUAGUAGCUAGUAGCUUUCCUUAUGCAUUAGAGUACCCUCGUGUACAUAGAGAUGUAAAUGUAUUUGGAAGUUACUUAUGUAUUUGGAAAGACAUUUUGUAUUAUGAGAAUAAUAUGUAUUCAUUUGGAAAGAUGAAAAUGUAAAUCAAUAUGAAAAAAAUGAGGUUGAAUGAAUGUAAUAGCUAGAUGUAUCUCUCUUUAUUUCACUUGUAUGUUACUUGUGAUUCUUGCUCUUAGAUGUAUUGCACCUGUGUGCAUCGUGUU
rnacentral:lncRNA from 1 species